GGUUGGCUAAUACCGCGUACGCUUCCCGGUUCACGGAUCGGGAAGGAAAGCCGGGCCGAGGGCUCGGCGCUCGUGGAUGGGCUCAUGCCCUAUCAGCUUGUUGGUGAGGUAACGGCUCACCAAGGCUACGACGGGUAGCUGGUCUGAGAGGACGAUCAGCCACACUGGCACUGCGACACGGGCCAGACUCCUACGGGAGGCAGCAGUAAGGAAUAUUGCGCAAUGGGCGAAAGCCUGACGCAGCGACGCCGCGUGGGGGAUGAAGGUCUUCGGAUUGUAAACCCCUUUCGGGAGGGAAGAUGGGACGAGCAAUCGUUCGGACGGUACCUCCAGAAGCAGCCACGGCUAACUUCGUGCCAGCAGCCGCGGUAAUACGAAGGGGGCGAGCGUUGUUCGGAUUUACUGGGCGUAAAGAGCGCGUAGGCGGCUGGAUAAGUCCGUUGUGAAAUCCCCCGGCUCAACCGGGGACCCGCUUCGGAAACUGUCCGGCUUGAGUCGCGGAGAGGAGAGCGGAAUUCCCAGUGUAGCGGUGAAAUGCGUAGAUAUUGGGAGGAACACCGGUGGCGAAGGCGGCUCUCUGGACGCGUACUGACGCUGAGGCGCGAAAGCUAGGGGAGCAAACGGGAUUAGAUACCCCGGUAGUCCUAGCCGUAAACGAUGGGCACUAGGUGUGGGAGGUAUCGACCCCUUCCGUGCCGCAGCUAACGCA
rnacentral:rRNA from 1 species